rnacentral:snoRNA from 1 species
AUCCCAUGAUGAGGGCAUUCUGAUAUGUAAUCUUGGAAGCAUUCCCAUGCCUCAGGGAUAGAUUUUUCAUACUGUUGCU